AUUGAACGCUGGCGGCAGGCCUAACACAUGCAAGUCGAGCGGCAGCGGGAAGUAACUUGUUACUUCGCCGGCGAGCGGCGGACGGGUGAGUAAUGCCUGGGGAUCUGCCCAGUCGAGGGGGAUAACUACUGGAAACGGUAGAUAAUACCGCAUACGCCCUUAGGGGGAAAGGGGGCGUUAGGGCUCUCGCGAUUGGAUGAACCCAGGGGGGAUUAGCUUGUUGGUGAGGUAAUGGCUCACCAAGGCGACGAUCCCUAGCUGGUCUGAGAGGAUGACCAGCCACACUGGAACUGAGACACGGUCCAGACUCCUACGGGAGGCAGCAGUGGGGAAUAUUGCACAAUGGGGGAAACCCUGAUGCAGCCAUGCCGCGUGUGUGAAGAAGGCCUUCGGGUUGUAAAGCACUUUCAGUGGGGAGGAAGGUAGUAAGGUUAAUACCCUUGCUGCUUGACGUUACCCACAGAAGAAGCACCGGCUAACUCCGUGCCAGCAGCCGCCGCCGUAACAC
rnacentral:rRNA from 1 species